UUUGUUCCCUUUGAGCCAUGAUGGGAGUGGAACUCCUUAAAUGUGAAGAUUAUGAUAAUGUUUGGUAUGAGUUAUGGGAAGGUUGAUUGUGAAUCUGACUACCAAUAUAUGAGGUAGAGCAGGUAAAUUUAGGUUAAAAAAAUAGACCUCUAAAAUUCACUUAAAGAACAAAAAGUUGAUCUCUUUGUCAUGUAAGGGUCAGGCUGGGAACUCAGGUCUUGGAAAGUUCUCCAUGUUUGAUUCAGAAACAAGACUGCUGGCUGCCUUGGCAUCUUUAAUGUAUGGCUUCCAGCUAGUCCUGAGUGUUGCCAUUGUAACCACCUCAAUGGGGAAAGAGCAUGGCACUUGGAUAUUGUUAAUAGGUCUGGUCCGGAAUUGGCACACUCACUUCUGCUCAUAUGCCCAGGCAGAGGGUCCCGAAAGUGUUACACCUAACUGCAAGGGAGGCUGGGAAAUGGAGUUGUGUUACAAACAAGGGGAGAGUGUGUUUUGGUGGAUAGCUAGGAGUUCUGCUUUAACUGCAUACACCUAUCUAUCUGUCUAUGUAUCUAUUUAUUUAUUUUAACCUGCUGAUGGGAGAAUGAUUCCAGGAGCAAAAAAGCAUUACCCCUUUAUUUGCUACAGAUUCUGUGCACUAAACACUGGUACUUGUGAAAACUCAAGUCCCACCUGUCGGUAUCACCUCGUUUGACUCACCUUUCUCACUUUAUUCACUUUCCCACGAUUUAGCCCAAUUGAAUGAUGUUGCUCAUUCACAUUCAGGGUGAUACCAAUUUGCAACCAUUAACCACUGAUUCUCAAACUUCAGCAGGUUAGAAUCAGAAUUUUCUAACCUCAGAGCCAAAUCACCUGCAGAGCUUGUUACUCCACAAAUUGCCAGGCCUCUCCCCAGAGUUUCUCUUUUAGUAGGAGUGGACCUGCCUGAUCAUUUGCAUUUCUAAUAUGUUUCAGGUGAUAUUGGUUUGCGAUCUGGGCCCAGACACUUUAAAAACCACCAUCUUGCGCUCUACGAAGGUGGCUGCAUUUUUCUCUCCUGGCAUCUUCCACCUUCUUACAUCAAAACUAGUUUUCUCUUCCCCAGAAAGGGGUUGAAGGGAUCUGCCUGUCUUCUGGAAGGUGAAACUGAAGUUCUUUCUGAGCUGAGAUAUUAGACUGAAUGGUGAUAAAGACAAUCUAACUUUGAAAGAUGAAGAAUCCAAAUACUCCAGAAUUGUUUGCUGUCACAGACUACUAACUGCAGCAUUACAAAAGAGAAGACUGUGAUACCUGAAGAACAUAGCAUUAUAGGAAAGCAAUGAUCAGCAUUAAGAUGAAAUAUACGUGGCAGAGUCUGAAAUCUCUACUCCCAAGCAGCUACUGGUUUGACUGAUUAUAUGAAGUUAAAGCCUGGGGAGUUGAUGCUUGUGGGGUCCAGAUUUGAGCAAUGGAAUGUAAGAGAGGAGCAUCUAGAAAAGGCAUCCUUCCAUCUUCUCUCUGUAGGAGAGUUCAAGAUAUUCAAGGUGUAACUUUUCCAUACAUCCUAUCAGGAGAUUUCUGUGCCUGGGGUCACCUGCAGAAAAUUGGCUAUGUUUCUUUGCAGCUCAUUAUGAAGAAGCGGCCAGUGAAGUAAUGUACCACCUGGCAGUCACUUCUUAUCCUUUCUGGACCCAGCUUCCUUCCCUUACUUGUGCUGAUUAAGAUUGCUCCCCCUUCAAUAAAGCAUUUAGUCUUAACUCAUGCUUUGUUCUCUAGAGUACACAGAACAUGAA